rnacentral:rRNA from 1 species
UAAUACAGAGGGGGCAAGCGUUGUUCGGAAUUACUGGGCGUAAAGGGCGCGUAGGCGGCCGCCUAAGUCAGACGUGAAAUCCCUCGGCUCAACCGGGGAACUGCGUCUGAUACUGGGUGGCUUGAAUCCGGGAGAGGGAUGCGGAAUUCCAGGUGUAGCGGUGAAAUGCGUAGAUAUC